CAAAAUUUAUUAAUUCAAGCAAAUUUAAUAAUUUACUAGGAAACAUGGCUGACAUUUCUGUUGUUUGUUUGUUUGUUUGUUUGUUUGUUGUUAUGGUAACAUGUUCCUGUGAAUUGUGGAAAGCCAAGCAGGAAAAGGAAAAGCAAAAAAAGCUCUAUUGUGAAUUCGUCAAGAGGUCUCUUCUAUACUGUUACCCCCAUGCCUGCCACAAUGAUGACACAUAGUAGCCUCUCAGUAAAUAGUAUUUGUUGAAAUGAACUAAGUCAAAUGAUU